UAUAUCCACAACAAAGGGCCGGCAUAGAGAGUGGGCUACCAAACCAACGGUGGCGAUAUAAUAACCUCCUCUCGCUUCAUCUCAGUCGUCUCCUCCUCCCUCACCUCUUCUCCGUCGUCCGAUCUAUCGUCCCGCCCUUUUUUCAAUUCUCCACCACCAGGUUUUAUGGCGGAGGCACCCGCGAGUCCGUGUGUUGCGAGUCCAGAGAGCGGGGGCGAUUUUCGACACGAAAGCGGGGGAGAUCAGAGCCCCAGGUCGUUUCGUGAGCAGGAUAGGUUUCUGCCAAUAGCUAAUAUCAGUCGAAUUAUGAAGAAAGGCCUUCCUGCUAAUGGAAAAAUUGCUAAAGAUGCUAAAGAGACUGUGCAGGAAUGCGUCUCCGAGUUCAUUAGUUUCAUCACUAGCGAAGCUAGCGAUAAGUGUCAGAGAGAGAAGAGGAAAACAAUAAAUGGUGAUGAUUUAUUGUGGGCUAUGGCCACUCUUGGAUUUGAAGAUUAUAUUGAGCCUCUAAAAGUUUACCUGGCAAGAUACAGAGAGGUAAAGUAUUCAUCUUUGCCUAAUUCUGUUCUCAACAGCUUAUGACUACUGUAUUGACUGAUGUCUUGUGUGAUCUUUUCCGAUGUUCUGGAUUUUGUUGAACCAUGGCAGAUGGAGGUAUGCAAAUGUUAUCAUUGGUUCUACAAUUUAUAUUUGUUACUGAAUUGCUCCUAUUAUCAUACUUCUUCUUACAUUUGAAUUAAUGAGCAUUGAUAUGUAGGGUGACACAAAAGGGUCAGGAAAAGGUGCCGAAGGAUCCAGUAGAAAAGAAGGUGUACAACCGGUUCAUCAGGGACAGCUUGUUCAUCAAGGUUCAUAUCCACAGGGUGUGAUCUAUGGUAACUCUCAGUGUUGAUCAAUAUUCUUAGCAAGUGGAGGUGCAACUAUGGCAGUCAGCAGGUGUUGGAGGUUCUAAUGUAUCACUUUAAUAUCCAUUAGGCUUCGUACUCGACAGCAGUAGUGAUUUCUUUUAAGUUGUUAGUGGCGGGUCAUAAGAACAACUUAAGUUUUGUGUACAUCAUACUUGGAUGAAUUAAUAUCAACAAACUCAACACAUGAUGGUUCCCAUGCAAGGGCCGCAAUAGAGAUCUGUGCUAAUCGUCGAUCAACUUCAUCUUUCGAUGUCCAUCUCAUUCGUAGAAAAAAUUUCGUGAAAGCUCAUCAGCACCUGUUAUUUGUGUUCUUAUAAUUGCCUGUGAUAUUCUAGUAUUUAAUGUGUUACUCCUUAAUAUCGCAAGACGAUAAAUCGCGAAGUAUGUGGACGAGUCUUUUUUAAAGCAGAUUUACAGGAUUAUAUGUUCUCAUCUAUGCCUAGUCUAGGCAGGUCAAGCCUCUGGGACUGCUUCCUGCUUUCUGGUGUAGAGGGAUCUUAUAUAAUACUGCUAUUUAGAGGACUUCACAAUUUA